UACGAGGGGGGCGAGCGUUGUUCGGAAUUAUUGGGCGUAAAGGGCGCGUAGGCGGUCGGAUAAGUCUUGUGUGAAAUCUUCGGGCUCAACUCGAAGUCUGCACAGGAAACUAUCUGGCUUGAGUGUGGGAGAGGUGAGUGGAAUUCCUGGUGUAGCGGUGAAAUGCGUAGAUAUCAGGAGGAACACCUGUGGUGUAGACGGCUUUCUGGACCAUAGCUGACGCUGAGACACGAAAGCGUGGGUAGCAAACAGG
rnacentral:rRNA from 1 species